AGUGAACGCUGGCGGUAGGCCUAACACAUGCAAGUCGAAUGGCAGCACAGUAAGAGCUUGCUCUUACGGGUGGCGAGUGGCGGACGGGUGAGGAAUACAUCGGAAUCUACUUUUUCGUGGGGGAUAACGUAGGGAAACUUACGCUAAUACCGCAUACGACCUACGGGUGAAAGCAGGGGAUCUUCGGACCUUGCGCGAUUGAAUGAGCCGAUGUCGGAUUAGCUAGUUGGCGGGGUAAAGGCCCACCAAGGCGACGAUCCGUAGCUGGUCUGAGAGGAUGACCAGCCACACUGGAACUGAGACACGGUCCAGACUCCUACGGGAGGCAGCAGUGGGGAAUAUUGGACAAUGGGCGCAAGCCUGAUCCAGCCAUACCGCGUGGGUGAAGAAGGCCUUCGGGUUGUAAAGCCCUUUUGUUGGGAAAGAAAAGCAGCAGGUUAAUACCCCGCUGUUCUGACGGUACCCAAAGAAUAAGCACCGGCUAACUUCGUG
rnacentral:rRNA from 1 species